GUCCAAGUGUGAGGUGAUGAAGGUCUGCACCAGGGUGGUGGCCCCAUCAGAAGAGAGAAGGGGAUAUGACAGAGCUGUUGCAAAGCUCAGAACUUGACCUGCUUUGAGAAAGGAACCACAAGGAUCUGUACAACAGUUGGCUACUUGAUGCAGAACUUAAGUUUCACUCACAACACAGCACCAAAUGAGGGAAGAAACACUGAAGCCCCUUUUGGGGCUGGGGCUGUCACCCAAGGAUUAACCCCUCACUCUAGAGAGAGGAUCAAUCUCCUUAGGUAUCCCUGGUUAUCUGCAUUCAUUUCUGUUGCAAUAAAGAUAAAAGGCUACAAACGAUCUGAUAACAAAAUUUCCCAUCUCCAAGAGUGGCUUUUGUUUCUAUUUCUAUUUCCUCUCUGCCUUUUUCAGGUCUGGCUUUACAAUGUAAGGAUCCUGAGCUUUGCAUAGUCCGGGGAUACAGACAGAUAUACAAUACCUACUACAAAAUGAUAUUAUUAGUUCAGUUCUAAUAAAAAAAUCAUCUCUCAAAUGCUAAAAAAAGUCAAGCCUGGUAAUACAGAUAUUUAAGGGAACACUAUUAUGAGAACACGCCACAGAAUCUCUCACAGUCACAUACAUGUGUAUAUAAAGGAAGGUGGAAUGUUUGAUCACAUCUGCUUUUGAGAAAGAUUUCAUUGUUACUUCUUUAAAUUUUUAUCCUUCUUUAACCAUGUAUGUAUAUAUUCAUAUAACCAAAACUUCUUCCAUAAGGGGUACAGAGCAAGAAAGGAGGAUCUAGAGUGUGAUAGGAAGAAUCCUGGGAAGGACCCAGGAGUCUUCAGAGGCUUCAAAUGACAUAAUACCUCUACAGAAACACAUGGUAUAAACCAUUUUCAAAGCAAACACACAAACAUCAUUCCACUCAGAAACCAUUUUGAUUAGGCAAAACUACACAUUUCUCUUAAACCCUAUGGCUUAAAAAAAGGAUUUAGUCAUAAUCAUACACAACAUCCAUAAGGCACACUCCCACCAUUUACAUGGUGAAAGAGAAAGAUAAGAAGAAACAGUAGUUACUGCAGUUUUGUUUGGAAUACAAAGGCUUUCUUGCUAAUUCAUCCCUUCUCUAACCAAGUUUGUGCCUUCUAUGUUUAAGCUCUUUGGAAUUUUCCAUCUCAACUUUCUUUCUAGUUCAUAUGUCCUGCAUGACUUGCCCAUAGUGACAUAUUAACUCAUUCAGGGGGGCAGUUGUCAUCUGCUGAUAGCAAAAUGUUUAUAAAACUGAAACAUGCUUUUUGCCAUUUUCCCCUCCUAUUCUGCUGUCUCAUGAAUCCUCAACAAAAAUUCAUUAAAUCACCUAUGUCCUUUCCUCCCCCAAACCCCACUGUUUCUUUCUAAAAAAUAGAAUUUAUAAGGAAGAUUCCCAUUUUUAUUAAAAAACAACUACUGUCCUCAUCAGGCAUCAAAAUCUCUCUUCUGUAGCUAAAAUGUAUUUGUCAUAUUCAGUCUUAAUUACUAGAAUGAGUCUGAGAGCCCAUGACUUUUCUUCUUUUCUACAUACAUGCUAGAGAUUUUAAAAACACUUUAUUUAAUAAAAGUUAAACAUACAAAACUGAAAUUAACACAUUUGUCAUAAAAAUCACCAUCUUCCAUUAAUAGGAAGUACCUUUUUCUAUGCAUGUCAUUCUAAACUAUCAGUUGCAUAUAUUAGUUUGAACUGAAUGCAACUCAGGUAAUUGUGAUGGUCACUUGCAUCAAUGAAUGCUGACAACCUGAUCUAGUUAACAAAAAUUACAAACUCAGCUACAUGAACAUAAUAUACAAGGAAAUUAUGGUCAGAUUAAUGCACAAGAAA